UGACUGAUUGUGUGUGUUUGUGUGUUGACUAUGACUGUGUGUCAUUUUAUGACUGAUUGUGUGUGUGUUUGUGUGUUGAUUGUGACUGUGUCAUUGUGCAAGCGCUCCAUAAUUACCUAUUGGCACAUCAUAAUGCAUGGAUAUUUCUGUAUAAUAAGGUCAUGGGCAUGUCAUUUUUUGACCUACAUACCUUGUAGUUGGUAGUACCAUUGCCCUUUGGACAUUCUUCAAUGCAUUGCUCUAUAUUUUCCUGCAUCAAGUAUGAUGAUUGUGCUUAGAAUGUGUAGAAUCCAAGGGUGGAUGGAGGUUUUCAUGAUGGCUAAUUUGUUUUGUUAUAUGGUUGUUCUGAUGGUGUGCUUCUGGUGUUUGAACUGAAGCCGUAGAUUUCCUAUCAACUUGGUCUGUGUUUGUAUGCUGAAUUAUUUCCGGGCAGGACAGAGAUGCAGUGUUUACAUCCAUGGCAGAAGGUUUUUUAACAGUGCAUCAAAGGUCCUUGGACUCAAGAGGAAGAUGACAAAAUUAUUGACCUUGUAAACAACUAUGGACCACCAGAAUGAUCUCAUUGCAAGGUCAGCUACCAGAACUUCUUGCUGCUGAUCCUGGGAUGUUUCCGAACAUGCUCCCAAACAUGUUCAAUUUAUCCGCCCUAGGACAGCCACUGCCAUGACACAGUAGGCUACUCGGCAUGCUCGGCGUGUUUACCUCGGUGGACUUCCUCCAAUCGCUAAUGAACAUACGGUUGCUCUAUUCUUCAAUCAAGUUAUGGCCGCUAUUGGGGAAGACACAUUUGAUCCAGGUGAUGCAGUUCUUAAUAUGAAGCUGAUUUUUGAAUUCAUACAAAACAUCUUAGGUGGCAUAAUCAUCUAACUCUGUGUGUGUGACUGACUGACUGUGUGUGUCUGUGGCUGUGUAUGUUUUGUGUGUGUGACUAACUGUGUGUGUUCUAUGUCUUGU